AUUGAACGCUAGCGGGAUGCCUUACACAUGCAAGUCGAACGGAGUGGCGAACGGGUGAGUAAUGUAUCGGUACGUGCCCAGUCGCGGGGGAUAACUACGCGAAAGCGAAGCUAAUACCGCAUACUUUUGGAGCUGCCGAUGUCGGAUUAGCUAGUUGGUGGGGUAACGGCUCACCAAGGCGACGAUCCGUAGCUGGUUUGAGAGGCCGACCAGCCACACUGGGACUGAGACACGGUCCAGACUCCUACGGGAGGCAGCAGUGGGGAAUUUUGGACAAUGGGGGAAACCCUGACCCAGCCAUCCCGCGUGAGCGAUGAAGGCCUUCGGAUUGUAAAGCACUGUUGGCAGGAAAGCGGUACCUGAAGAGUAAGCAACGGCUAACUACGUGCCAGCAGCCGCGGUAAUAC
rnacentral:rRNA from 1 species